rnacentral:rRNA from 1 species
GUAGUCAUAUGCUUGUCUCAAAGAUUAAGCCAUGCAUGUCUAAGUAUAAGCAAUUAUACCGCGAAACUGCGAAUGGCUCAUUAAAUCAGUUAUCGUUUAUUUGAUAGUACCUUACUACAUGGAUAACCGUGGUAAUUCUAGAGCUAAUACAUGCUAAAAAUCCCGACUUCGGAAGGGAUGUAUUUAUUAGAUUAAAAACCAAUGCCCUUCGGGGCUCUCUGGUGAUUCAUAAUAACUUCUCGAAUCGCACGGCCUUGCGCCGGCGAUGGUUCAUUCAAAUUUCUGCCCUAUCAACUUUCGACGGCUGGGUCUUGGCCAGCCGUGGUGACAACGGGUAACGGAGGGUUAGGGCUCGACCCCGGAGAAGGAGCCUGAGAAACGGCUACUACAUCCAAGGAAGGCAGCAGGCGCGCAAAUUACCCAAUCCCGACACGGGGAGGUAGUGACAAUAAAUACUGAUACAGGGCUCUUUCGGGUCUUGUAAUUGGAAUGAGUACAAUUUAAAUCCCUUAACGAGGAACAAUUGGAGGGCAAGUCUGGUGCCAGCAGCCGCGGUAAUUCCAGCUCCAAUAGCGUAUAUUAAAGUUGUUGAGGUUAAAAAGCUCGUAGUUGAACCUUGGGCCUAGCCGGCCGGUCCGCCUCACCGCGUGCACUGGCUCGGCUGGGUCUUUCCUUCUGGAGAACCGCAUGCCCUUCACUGGGUGUGCCGGGGAACCAGGACUUUUACUCUGAACAAAUUAGAUCGCUUAAAGAAGCCUAUGCUCGAAUACAUUAGCAUGGAAUAAUAGAAUAGGACGUGUGGUUCUAUUUUGUUGGUUCUAGGACCGCCGUAAUGAUUAAUAGGGACGGUCGGGGGCAUCAGUAUUCAUUGUCAGAGGUGAAUUCUUGGAUUUAUUGAAGACUAACUACUGCGAAAGC